rnacentral:tRNA from 1 species
GCUGCCGUAGCUCAGUGGUAGAGCACCCCCUUGGUAAGGGGGAGGUCCAGAGUUCAAGUCUCUGCGGCAGCACCA